rnacentral:tRNA from 1 species
GGGCGAUUAGUUUAGUGGCAGAACAGCGGUCUCCAAAACCGCUAGUGUAGGUUCGAUUCCUACAUCGCCCG